CGUGGCCUACGGGGCGCAGCAGUAGGUCCUCUUCCCCCCUUUGCGACCGCCUGAUGGAGCAACGCCGCGUGGGUGAAGAAGGUCUUCGGAUCGUAAAACCCUGUUGUUAGAGAAGAAAGUGCGUGAGAGUAACUGUUCACGUUUCGACGGUAUCUAACCAGAAAACCACGGCUAACUACGUGCCAGCAGCCGCGGUAAUACGUAGGUGGCAAGCGUUAUCCGGAUUUAUUGGGCGUAAAGGGAACGCAGGCGGUCUUUUAAGU
rnacentral:rRNA from 1 species